AUUGAACGCUGGCGGCAGGCCUAACACAUGCAAGUCGAACGGUAACAGGAAGAAGCUUGCUUCUUUGCUGACGAGUGGCGGACGGGUGAGUAAUGUCUGGGAAACUGCCUGAUGGAGGGGGAUAACUACUGGAAACGGUAGCUAAUACCGCAUAACGUCGCAAGACCAAAGAGGGGGACCUUCGGGCCUCUUGCCAUCGGAUGUGCCCAGAUGGGAUUAGCUUGUUGGUGGGGUAACGGCUCACCAAGGCGACGAUCCCUAGCUGGUCUGAGAGGAUGACCAGCCACACUGGAACUGAGACACGGUCCAGACUCCUACGGGAGGCAGCAGUGGGGAAUAUUGCACAAUGGGCGCAAGCCUGAUGCAGCCAUGCCGCGUGUAUGAAGAAGGCCUUCGGGUUGUAAAGUACUUUCAGCGGGGAGGAAGGGAGUAAAGUUAAUACCUUUGUUCAUUGACGUUACCCGCAGAAGAAGCACCGGCUAACUCCGUG
rnacentral:rRNA from 1 species